AGGGGAGUAGCUCAAUUGGUAGAGCAACGGUCUCCAAAACCGUAGGCUGCGGGUUCAAGUCCUGUCUCCCCUGCCA
rnacentral:tRNA from 1 species